GCGCCUGCUUUCUCCCUGAUGCCUGUCUGAAGGCUUGGAGGGGACGCUGGCAGAAGAUGCAGGCCAUGUGUGGUCUUAGGGGCAGCUUUGCAUCUGGGGAGCGCGAUGAUUCUCGGGAAGAACAAAAUCUUCAUCCCUACGGUUAAACAUGACCCUGAGAUGCUGCAUAGUUCAAGUAGAUAAUGACCAAGGCCAAUCGUCGUGGAUCUCUGUGCUACAUCUGAAAGAUGUUCAGUGCUGACUGCUGGGGACUCUGGAGUACGGAAAGGAUUGUGCCCUCCUCUAUCCUAGGGGGCAGCAGGAGGAGGUUCCCCGCCAUAGCCAUGUUUGGCUACCCAAGCCUCUCCUGAGCGGUGUGAACUAUUCCCUCAAUGGUCCUGAGUUUGCAGGGUGUGCCACGCCCCUCAGUCCGAGCUCCCACCGUAGCCAGCCCCUGCUGCUCUCUGCUUCCCUCCCCUCCAGCGCUGGCCACAGCUUUCUUUGCCCGACGUCCCACCCACUCUGCCGCCUCCUGGGCUCGGCGAGGGCCCUUGGGCGUUGGGCGCACAUCCCGCCCCCGUCGUCCCGCCCCAGCGGCCUGGCCCAGCCCCUUGUCUCCAUGGAGACCCGCACGCUUGCUGCGCCCGCCCCCAAGUCCACCUCCCAACCGCCGCCGUCCCCGCGCAGACCUCCCAACCGACGUCCAUCUCGUUGGAGCCCAGCGCCCGGCAGCGACCUGCGGGACUCCUGGGACGCGCGCCUUCUCGGGACUCAGGGGGCCAGUGUCUCCCAGACUGACAAGAUGGUACUCAGACUCCCUCCUCUAAAGAGCCCGUCAGUGGCAUCUAUUUAGUUCCAGCUGCUGGCUUCUAUAUGUUGAAAUGCAGGGCCCCUGCUGCCCAAUCGUCUUCUCCUGUGAAAAAUCAGAAAUUCAGAACUAUCUGGUAUCUUAAGUAUUAGCAACUAUGUCAAUUAAAAAACAAAACUAAAACUAAGGCUAAGUUACACUCACACCUGAAGGCUGUGCACGGUCCAGAGGUCACCAGCAGUUUGUGGGUGCUCUUCUAAAGGGACAAUGUUUUCUCCAUUCAAGGUCCGCACUCCCCAAUACUGUGAUUAAAAAAACAAAAACCAAAAACAAACUAGGGACAGGUGGUACAGGGCUGGAUAUGAGAAGGCCUUUGUGCCUCAGGCACCACGUGUGCCCUGUCAGGGAGCGUACUGCUGCUUGGGAAAGUACUGGCUAUGAUUAGCUAACAUGGUCUCUCCUGAGCCAAGGAUCUGGAAGAAGGAAAAAAAAGACAGGGCAAAGGCAGAUCAUCUUUGUUCUUGUUACAUUUUAUUGGCAUCACGUUCAUCUCUUUACAGAAGAACUUGGCCCACACCCUAGAAUGUAGACCUUUGGAAAAAGGGGAAGUGCUCCGUUAAGCAAGCUACAAUGCAGGGGCAGAUCCUAGGGAGGGGGCAGAACUGCCAGGGUUCCAUACCAAAGAAACAGGUUAAUUAUGAUGGGCAAGAGGGGCGUUGGUGGGGAAAAGGAGAAAAAGGUUUGCUAACCUAAGGAUACCACAACCUGAAAGGAGCGCCUUCUAGAACAAAGGUAAAAUCACUAGGACA